UUUUGGCACAAACAGGUCCCUUUCCCUUCUUUAGUAUCUCUUUGGGGUAUAAGCCCAGUAGAAACACUGCUGGAUCAAAGGGGAUGCACAGUUUGAUAACUUUUUGAGCAUAGUGGGGAACUAAUUUUCAAUGAGUGUGGAGUUGAGAAUUUCUCAGGCAGAAAUAAAAUGUAUUUCUUUUAAUUUAGUAGAGAAGGUGGAGAUUGGGGAUAGUGGGGUAGUAGUGGAGCAAAGAUACUAUUUAUAUUAAAUGAAUCCAAACACUAUUGUAAGUGUUAACAAAAGAAUUCUUUGUGGGAGGCAGCUAAGUGAUGCAAUGGAUAGAGCACCAGCCCUGAAGUCAGGAGGACCUGAGUUCAAAUCUGACCUCAGACACUUAACACUUCCUAACUGUGUAAGCCUGGGCAAGUUACUUAACUAGAAUUGUCUCAGCAUCACAAAAAAUAAAGAAAGAAAGAAAGAAAGAAAGAAAGAAUUCUUCAUGUGAUUAUCAAUCACGCCACAAUUUGGUCCUCUCCUUAACCCCUAACUUCAUCAAAAGGUUUCAAUUCAAACUGAAGAGAAAUGAAGGGACUGAUGUGUGAGGAAGGGGUAGAGAAUAGUCUCUAAGAAUGUUCAGAUUCAAGGUAAGUAAUGGACAAACACAAUGUGUUUGACAAAAAUGUACUAAGAUGCACAUUUUCCACAAUAUGGGGUAUUUUUAUAUAUAACUUUUCCCAGCCAGUGAAUGAAAAUCAAAACUUUUUUUUGUUUUAUAAUAGAAUAUUUCAAUAUUUAAGCCAUCUAAACUUAUGCUUUAUUCUCAUCAGCCAAAAGCUUGUUAAUGAAUUUUUUCAAAAGCUCUAUUUGAAUGCUACAAAAGUGAAAGACAAGCUGUUAUAAAUGGGCUCUACGAUUCACAAAAAUGAAGCAACAACUAAUUAUUUACCAAAUGUAUUUUAUUUGGCCAACAAAGUUCAGACACAUGAACAGGAAAGCACGAAACUCAGCUACAAGUUCGUGCAGCUAUCUUCAGUCUCUCAGGCAAUGGCAAUUGCAGUCACAUUAUUGAGCAGGCAGUUUUCUAAGUUUUCCUUUGUUUGAACAUACAUUAAUGAAUAGCAAUUGGUACAUACAUAUAAUCCUUGGGAAUAAUUACAUUUCAAAUGAUCUCCUGUUAAGUUGCUUCUCAUACUCCCCCAAAAUUAAAUGUUAGUGAUUUCUAAGGAACUUUUAAGCUUACUAAUCAAGAAAACUUUUCUCACUAAUU